rnacentral:rRNA from 1 species
UACAGAGGGUGCAAGCGUUGUUCGGAAUUACUGGGCGUAAAGCGCGUGUAGGCGGCAGCGUAAGUCGGAUGUGAAAGCCCUUGGCUUAACCAAGGAAGUGCAUCCGAUACUGCGUUGCUUGAGUGUCGGAGGGGAUGGCGGAAUUCCCGGUGUAGAGGUGAAAUUCGUAGAUAUCGGGAGGAACACCUGUGGCGAAGGCGGCCAUCUGGACGACAACUGACGCUGAGACGCGAAAGCGUGGGUAGCAAACAGG